CUUAAAACAUAAGGAAACCCUAGCACUCCUUCACUAUGGCGACCGAUGGCAUGAGACCCCCCCCCCCUCUCUUCCGAAACUCCUUGUGCUUAAACACCUCUUCACACCUCUCGGAGCAAGUUGAUCAACCCGGAACACGUAACAUAACAUACCGAGCACCCUAAGGUUGUUAGAUGUUUUGGAUUGGGACUUGCUGUCUGAGUAGCUGGAGUGGUCAUGGGUCGAACUGGAUGGAUACAAGUGAUGGGAUGACCGAUAAUACACAUUGGUUUUGAAACACAGUUAAACAAUGAUUUCUUUUAUUUGCUUCCGCUGAACAUGUUGGUUUACAUAUAAACUCAU